rnacentral:rRNA from 1 species
UACGAAGGGGGCUAGCGUUGCUCGGAAUUACUGGGCGUAAAGAGCUCGUAGGCGGCUCGUCGCGUCGGCUGUGAAAACCUGGGGCUCAACCCCGGGCCUGCAGCCGAUACGGGCGAGCUAGAAUUCGGUAGGGGAGACUGGAAUUCCUGGUGUAGCGGUGAAAUGCGCAGAUAUCAGGAGGAACACCGGUGGCGAAGGCGGGUCUCUGGGCCGAUAUUGACGCUGAGGAGCGAAAGCGUGGGGAGCGAACAGG